UUUUCUUGCUAGUUUUUGAAGUAUGGCCUGCCCGCUGAUUGAAGGGCCGCGGUAUUUUGACCGUGCAAAGGUAGCAUAGUCAUUAGUUCUUUAAUUGUGAUCUGGUAUGAAUGGCUUGACGAGACAUGGGCUGUCUUUUUGAAUUUGUAUUUUGAGUUAAAAUUCUUAGAUGUUUUUAUGGGACGAGAAGACCCUAUAGAGUUUGACAUUUGGUUUUUUGUUUGUUUUAAAUUUUUGCGUUUGUUUUGUUGGGGUGAUGGGAAGAAUUUUUUAACUCUUCUUUAUUGGUAUAUUGAUUUAUAUUUAUUUUGAUCCAUUUAUUUUGAUUAUAAGAUUAAAUUACCUUAGGGAUAACAGCGUUAUCUUCCCUGAGAGUUCUUAUUGGCGGGGGGGUUUGCGACCUCGAUGUUGGAUUAAGGUUAAUUUUUGGUGUAGGAGCUGAAUUGAUUAGGUCUGUUCGACCUUUAAAAUCUU
rnacentral:rRNA from 1 species